UACGUAGGGCGCAAGCGUUGUCCGGAAUUAUUGGGCGUAAAGAGCUCGUAGGUGGUUUGUCGCGUCUGUUGUGAAAGCCCGGGGCUUAACUCCGGGUUGCAGUGGAUACGGGCAGGCUAGAGGCAGGUAGGGGAGAACGGAAUUCCCGGUGUAGCGGUGAAAUGCGCAGAUAUCGGGAGGAACACCGGUGGCGAAGGCGGGUCUCUGGGCAGUAACUGACGCUGAGGAGCGAAAGCGUGGGGAGCGAACAGG
rnacentral:rRNA from 1 species